rnacentral:rRNA from 1 species
AUUGAACGCUGGCGGUAUGCUUAACACAUGCAAGUCGGACGGCAGCAUGACGAGUAGCAAUACUUGUUGAUGGCGAGUGGCGGACGGGUGAGUAAUGCAUAGGAAUCUGCCUUUUAGUGGGGGACAACCCGGGGAAACCCGGGCUAAUACCGCAUAAUCCUUAAGGGGGGAAAGCGGGGGGCUCUUCGGACCUCGCGCUAAGAGAUGAGCCUAUGUCAGAUUAGCUAGUUGGUGGGGUAAAGGCUCACCAAGGCGAUGAUCUGUAGCUGGUCUGAGAGGACGACCAGCCACACUGGGACUGAGACACGGCCCAGACUCCUACGGGAGGCAGCAGUGGGGAAUAUUGGGACAAUGGGGGGAAACCCUGAUCCAGCAAUACCGCGUGUGUGAAGAAGGCCUGAGGGUUGUAAAGCACUUUUAGAGGGAAGAAAUCUUCCGGGAUAAUACCCUGGAGGCUUGACGUUACCCUAAGAAAAAGCACCGGCUAACUCUGUGCCAGCAGCCGCGGUAAU